rnacentral:lncRNA from 1 species
CCAUCUCUCCACGUUCCAAAGCGAAAGGUUUCCGUGAUAUGAUAUAGGCAAGAAAUAAGAAAUAACGGUUGCAAAAAACCCCUUUUUUUCUUUCAAAAGUCUAUAAAAAUUAUAUUGCCAAUUCCAUUUUAGUUAUAUUCUUUUUUCUUAAUGUUAAUAAAAAAAAGAAGAAAAUUCUUGUUUUUUCUUUGUAAAAAUCGAUAUUGACCGAGAGACAAUCAAAUAGAUUUUCUCUUUAGCGGGCAUUUCCAUAUAGGACUUGUUAUAAUUAUAAUAAAACAAGCUAUAUAUAAAAAAACGCUUUUUUUUUUUUUGUCGAUUAUUUAUCAAGAAAGCAAAAAGGGUUCUUAUCAAAUCCACCAUAAAAUUGGAAAGAAGCAUAAAGUAAGUAGACCUGACUCCUUGAAUGAUGCCUCUAUCCGCUAUUCUGAUAUAUAAAUUCGAUGUAGAUGAAAUUGUAUAAGCGAAUUUUUCGUAUUUCCUUAGACUUAGACCGCGCAAGACAAGAAUUUUU